AAACUUCUGAUAAAUAAACUUUUAAGACAGGGUAAGAAUUUCUUAUUGUCUUAAUAUUAAUACAGAGUUAACAAAGUGUUACUUUAGCGGAUUUUCGAUGUAGAGACGUAUUCGGUUGUCACUGAUUCGGUACCUUGCCAGCUGACAUCGGCAGACCGUCCAAACGCAAGUGCUGAAGUGGUUGAGCAGCGUCUUGCUGGGAUUAUUUUCCUGGUCUGCUUAAUUGAGAGCAAGUUGGGCGUUUUUACUAUCAGCAACAAGAUGAAACAGACUUCUGAAAUGAGAAACGUUCGCUUCGUCAUGCUAUUUAUUAUGGUGCUCGUGCCGAGCGUAGUCAACCUGAUGCGGGGCAUCUGGCAUGGCGCUUUCCGGAAUAAUACCCCCUGGCCACGAAAAUCCAAACGAAUAUUGGGGCUCCUUGUUAGUAUAUCAGAAACAAUCGGUAUGUGCCUAUUUGUCUUUCACCUCCCUGGCAUCAAAGGCAUGGACCGACCUUGUAAGGUGAUCCUGAUCAUGAACGGUGUGCAUCUCUGCCAAGCAAUCCACAAUAUCUGGAAUGUCGUCACAGAAACAAGACAUCAACAAAGUAAAAAGCGCAUUGUGCGAAAUACGUUAGCCGUGAUAUUCAUCGUUACGUCUGUCGUCAUUACUUGCUGGCUUUUACUAGAGGUGUGGAUUUAUAUUGUCCUUCAAAGACGUGCUGUAUAGUAAAUCUCUCUUAUGAUACAUGUACAUGUAACAUUGCGAGUUAAGUCAAUGGUAACCAUCUGAAUUUACAAAUCUUAAUUCUAAAAUACUUCAAUUCCUGUUCAGAUUGGAGGAUUUAAAGAUACUCGUGCGUGUAAGAUGUCGCUGAGUUACUAAAUCAACGAAUGUAUUGUGUUCGUACUAUCAUGAUCAAUGGCGCAACGGUUUGGAAAGAUCAAUGAACUCAAAGCUAUGUGUAGGCAUGAUGUCGUUACAUUAAAAAGCAUUAUAAGCACACCAUUGAACGACCGUUUUCAUGUUUGUUUUACAUAUUUACCUAUUUUUUGGUCUCACGGUCUCUUUUAUGUCGAUCAACAAUAAGUAUUUUUAUGGACUACCAGUAGGGAAGCCGUUGACGUAGUCUCAAGUCCAUACACAUAUGAUACUGAAUCCCAUAAUGUACUUAAUUAUUUAGUUUUUGUUUCUUUAUUUCUUCAACAAUCACACUCACAAACACAAUUUGAGAAUUCUGACUUCGGUGAUAUUCUACACGUGGAAGCAUUUAACUAGCCUGCUGUAUGUCAAAUUAUAAGUGCAAAUAAUCCUUAUUAACAGAGCUUUUUAGAUACUUCAAUUAUGGGUUUGAAAACAAUAUAUAAAACAAUCGGCAUUGCAAAAGCCAUAAUACGCGUGAUUAAAAUCGCAGCCUUGUUCACUGGCUUCUUCCAAUUCAAGUGUAAUGGUUAUCAUUUGAUGUUUUAAGCAUGGUAGCAGUAUUUAAGUUGUUGCACUCAAUUAAAACAGUUGUUUAUGAACUACACUCAACCAAUUUUCGUAAUUUUUAUUAUUUAGAAUGCCCAUGUGAAGGAUGCUUCGUCGGUGCCAUUUGCCAUUUAAAUAUAACUUUUUUUUUAAACAUAUAUAUGUGGCAAAAAGGCGUAUAAAACAUUUGACCCAACUAAAUGUUAAGCGUGUGGUCUCCUAGAUGACAUACGAAGUUUGAAAGACAUGUUUUUAAAUGUAUGAAAACCUUAUUUAUUUUUUUUUGUUGUUUAUUAUUACUGUUUUGUACUCAAUAACAUAAUAGUUACAUAAAGUCAUAUACUUAUCAUUAAUUGGAUAUUCUAGGUCAUCUUGUAUCAACUUACUUAAGUGAAUCAUGAAAUAUAUUCGACAAAAUUGAUCCUAAUUUAUUAAUAUCUUCAAUGUUAAGAUUGCGACGUAAAUCUUCCGCAAUACAUGUAAACGCGAGUGUGUUUUUGUUUGGAUUUUGUAAGUAAUCUGUUGAUGAAAAUCAUGUUAUUAAUCCCAUUAACUAAUGUGAACGAGGACACUUUGGCUGUGUCCUACAUAUGCGGGUUUCAUCUUAAAUGUAUAUUUACAAAUCACCAUAUAAAAUCGUUAUAAACCCAAUCACUCUUGAAGUUAUUCUUGAAACUUAUGUCUUGGCGUCAAUAUGAGUACUUUCGUACGGUAUUUCGU